GGAGGGUGCAAGCGUUAUCCGGAUUCACUGGGUUUAAAGGGUGCGUAGGUGGCUUUGUAAGUCAGUGGUGAAAUGCUUCCGCUUAACGGAAGAACUGCCAUUGAUACCGCUUAGCUUGAAUCAGGUGGAGGCGGAUGGAAUAUUACAUGUAGCGGUGAAAUGCUUAGAUAUGUAAUAGAACACCGAUUGCGAAGGCAGUUCGCUACGCCUGAAUUGACACUGAGGCACGAAAGCGUGGGGAUCAAACAGGAUUAGAUACCCUGGUAGUCCACGCCCUAAACGAUGUAAACUCGACAUUAGCGAUACACAGUUAGUGUCCAAGCAAAAGCGUUAAGUUUACCACCUGGGAAGUACGACCGCAAGGUUG
rnacentral:rRNA from 1 species